GAUGAACGCUGACAGAAUGCUUAACACAUGCAAGUCAACUUGAACUUCGGUUUGGGUGGCGGACGGGCGAGUAACGCGUAAAGAACUUGCCUCACAGAUAGGGACAACAUUUGGAAACGAAUGCUAAUACCUGAUAUUAUGAUUAUAUGGCAUCGUAUAAUUAUGAAAGCUAUAUGCGCUGUGAGAGGGCUUUGCGUCCCAUUAGCUAGUUGGAGAGGUAACGGCUCACCAAGGCGAUGAUGGGUAGCCGGCCUGAGAGGGUGAUCGGCCACAAGGGGACUGAGACACGGCCCUUACUCCUACGGGAGGCAGCAGUGGGGAAUAUUGGACAAUGGACCAAGAGUCUGAUCCAGCAAUUCUGUGUGCACGAUGAAGUUUUUCGGAAUGUAAAGUGCUUUCAGUUGGGAAGAAAAAAAUGACGGUACCAACAGAAGAAGUGACGGCUAAAUACGUG
rnacentral:rRNA from 1 species